GACGAACGCUGGCGGCGUGCCUAAUACAUGCAAGUAGAACGCUCAAGGAGGAGCUUUCUCUUCUGGAUGAUUUGCGAACAGGUGAGUAACGCGUAGGUAACCUGCCUGUUAGUGGGGGAUAACUAUUGGAAACGAUAGCUAAUACCGCAUAAUAACAGUUGUUGCAUGACAACUGUUUGAAAAAUGCAAUUUCAUCACUACCAUAUGGACCUUCGUUGUAUUAGCUAGUUGGUGGUGUAACAGCUCACCAAGGCGACGAUACAUAGCCGACCUUAGAGGGUGAUCGGCCACAAUGGGACUGAGAAAAGGCCCCGAAUCCUACGGGAGGCAGCAGUAGGGAAUCGUACGCAAUGGACCAAAGGCUGAACGAGCAACGCCGCGUGAGUGAAGAAGGUUUUCGGAUCGUAAAGCUCCGUUGUAAGAGAAGAAAGAGUGUGAGAGUGGAAAGUUCACAAUGUGACGGUAUCUAACCAGAAAGGGACGGCUAACUACGUG
rnacentral:rRNA from 1 species